rnacentral:rRNA from 1 species
UACAGAGGGUGCGAGCGUUGUCCGAAAUCACUGGGCGUAAAGGGCGCGUAGGUGGUGGCUUAAGCGUGCGGUGAAAGCUCGGGGCUCAACUCCGAGUCGGCCGUGCGAACUGGGCUCACUGGAGCAUAGUAGAGGCAGGUGGAAUUCCGGGUGUAGCGGUGGAAUGCGUAGAGAUCCGGAAGAACACCGGUGGCGAAGGCGGCCUGCUGGGCUAUGGCUGACACUGAGGCGCGACAGCGUGGGGAGCAAACAGG